rnacentral:misc_RNA from 1 species
GUUUUCCCUGCGUGAGGGGUAGUAAUGGAGCUCUUGUUGUAGUGGCGAUAAAAGCCACUACAACAAAGCGGGAAUGGAUGACCCGACCCCCG